rnacentral:rRNA from 1 species
UUUGUCUUAUGAUAAAUGUGAGAUGCAGUGUAUGGAAUGUCAAAUUUCUAGUAUGAGAAAUUAACGAUUUAAGUCCUUCUUAAAUGAGGCCAUUUACCCAUAGAGGGUGCCAGGCCCGUAUAACGUUAAUGAUUACUAGAUGGCAUUUCCUAAGAGUCGUGUUGCUUGAUAGUGCAGCACUAAGUGGGUGGUAAACUCCAUCUAAAACUAAAUAUAACCAUGAGACCGAUAGUAAACAAGUACCGUGAGGGAAAGUUGAAAAGAACUCUGAAUAGAGAGUUAAAUAGUACGUGAAACUGCUUAGAGGUUAAGCCCGAUGAACCUGAAUAUCCAUUAUGGAAAAUUCAUCAUUAUGAUUCAAUAUAUUAUAAUAAUGGUGUGCAUUUUUUCUAUAAAAGGACAUUGUAAUCUAUUAACAAAACAUAUUUAUCAUAAGAUCAAAUAAAGUUUAUUCAAAUUAUUUUGCUUGCAAUUUAACAUAAAAUAAAUGCUUUUGAUUUGAUAAAGUGUUGAUAGAUUUUAUAUUAUAGUGCUUAAAUAAUAAAUUUUAUAAUAACAUGUUAUCAAUAGAUUUAUAUGUUUUUAUAUGCACUUAUAUGAUUAACAAUGCGAAAGAUUCAGGAUACCUUCGGGACCCGUCUUGAAACACGGACCAAGGAGUCUAACAUAUUUGCAAGUUAUUGGAUAAAAUCUAAUAGCGAAAUUAACAUAACUUAAUGGGAUUAAUUUUUAGUAUAUUAAUUCAAUCCCGGGGCGUUCUAUAUAGUUAUGUAUAAUAAUAAUUUAUUAUUAUUUAUAUCUCUAACUAGAGCGUACCUUGAGCAUAUAUGCUGUGACCCGAAAGAUGGUGAACUAUACUUGAUCAGGUUGAAGUCAGGGGAAACCCUGAUGGAAGACCGAAACAGUUCUGACGUGCAAAUCGAUUGUCAGAAUUGAGUAUAGGGGCGAAAGACCAAUCGAACCAUCUAGUAGCUGGUUCCCUCCGAAGUUUCCCUCAGGAUAGCUGGUGCAUUUAAAUAUUAUUUAAAAUAAUCUUAUCUGGUAAAGCGAAUGAUUAGAGGCCUUAGGGUCGAAACGACCUUAACCUAUUCUCAAACUUUAAAUGGGUAAGAACCUCACCUUUCUUGGUAUGAAGGUUGUGGUUGUGAUAUAAUGUGCCCAGUGGGCCACUUUUGGUAAGCAGAACUGGCGCUGUGGGAUGAACCAAACGUAAUGUUACGGUGCCCAAAUUAACAACUCAUGCAGAUACCAUGAAAGGCGUU